CGACCGGCGCACGGGUGAGUAACACGUAUGCAACCUGGCCGUCACAGGUGGAUAACCGGAAGAAAUUCCGACUAAUACAGCAUAACACUCCUGAGGGACAUCCCUUGGGAGUCAAAGGAGGCAACUCCGGUGACGGAUGGGCAUGCGGCGCAUUAGGUAGUUGGUAGGGUAACGGCCUACCAAGCCGACGAUGCGUAGGGGUUCUGAGAAGAAGGUCCCCCACAUUGGAACUGAGACACGGUCCAAACUCCUACGGAAGGCAGCAG
rnacentral:rRNA from 1 species